AACGCGAAGAACCUUACCUACCCUUGACAUCCCACGAAUCCUGCAGAGAUGCGGGAGUGCCGCAAGGAACGUGGAGACAGGUGCUGCAUGGCUGUCGUCAGCUCGUGUUGUGAGAUGUUGGGUUAAGUCCCGUAACGAGCGCAACCCUUAUUCUUAGUUGCCAGCAUGUAAUGGUGGGGACUCUAAGAAGACUGCCGGUGAAGAACCGGAGGAAGGCGGGGACGACGUCAAGUCAUCAUGGCCUUUAUGGGUAGGGCCACACACGUGCUACAAUGGUCAGUACAGAGGGAAGCCAACUCGCGAGAGGGAGCCAAUCCCAGAAAGCUGAUCGUAGUCCGGAUUGAAGUCUGCAACUCGACUUCAUGAAGUCGGAAUCGCUAGUAAUCGCGAAUCAGAAUGUCGCGGUGAAUACGUUCCCGGGCCUUGUACACACCGCUCGCGA
rnacentral:rRNA from 1 species